rnacentral:lncRNA from 1 species
GCAGGGGACUCUCGAGCUUCGGGAUUCCGCCUACCCGGUAGCGGCUGUUUAGACCCAGACCGGCCCCUGCGCGAUAUGAGCACCGCUCAGGACUGCAGCUGUUGGGCACCAGCAGCCAGGCCACCACCUCCUUCAUGCUCCUCUGUGAUCACCUCUCCAAGUCCCGGUGUCAGGAGCCUUCUCUGUGGCCGCCCUGGAGAGACUUGAGCCUGGGACGUGACGUGCUGGGCUGUGAAGCUUUCUGAGAAGGGAAACCUGUGGCCUGACCUGCCUGAAUGCUGCACCCAACCUCAUCUCUUCCUGGGAGAAACCAACAACUGUCAGCAUUGACACCAUCAGGCCUUUCUCUUCUAAUUUAACCUUGCAGCCAACCACACGGCUAUCUGUGCGGGAUCUCUCCCCAAGCUCAAGGACAUGAGAUGCGGAUCAGGCCCAAGAGGCUGGAUGCCAAACCUAUCCUCUCCAUGUGAAGCACCAACUUGGGGGUGUCAACUAAAAAUAUGAGACCCGUAAACUUGGAAAGGAAGACUUUAUUUCUUGAGAAGGGUUGCAAACUGCAGGCUGGGAAGUGGCACCUCCAGCUGAGACCACAAACAGUGGACUUUCUCAAACUGGGGUAUUGACCUCUGAUGAACCGCCAUGCAAACCCGUGCCUUUCAACAUAAAAAGAAGCCCUUCGAGGUGCUCACCUUCAAGCUUGCUAGAGGAGGAGGAAGAGCAGGUUGAGUUUGACAUAACUAGAAUGGGUUGAGCCUUUCCAGCAGAGUAAGGUUCUUUCAUGGUGGACAGUGGCCACCCACUGCCAUUUCUACAAGAAGAUUUUGCUUCUUAGGCACUGAGUUCCUGGUUCUUUCACUAGAGAAAAAUGAGUAGGUUGGCAAUCCAGUACUUCCAUCUUCUGUGAAGACCUGGGCAGGCAACGGGGGCUUGGGGGCGGGGGCAGGGACCAAAGACAAGGCUGCCAUUUGCUGUGCCCACCACAGAGGGACAUUUACUCCACCUGAAGCACAAGUAUUUUCUCAGUGAUGUUGGCUCCUACAAAGUCAAAAGGGGUAGGCUCCCUGGCUUACGCUCCAGGAGUUUGGACUGAAAGGGACACUAAAAGUGUCUUCCUCUAAGUUUAUGAUGUUGCCCUCCUCUGGCUACAACAGUGCUCUGGCCAUAAGCAUCCCAGGUUCUCUGAAUGAUGGUGGGUAUGGAAAUGUUCCCAAACACAGGUAUGGCGGUGUCCCCUCCCACUGUACCAAUCUAUGCCCAGGGCUGGAAGGUCCGUGGUGCUCUGAACUGGAUUCAUAAACAGUAGCAUCUCCAACCACAA